AGAAGGGCACACGGUGAAUGCCUAGGCACUGGAAGCCGAUGAAGGACGUGACAAACGACGAAAUGCUUCGGGGAGCGGUAAGUACGCAGAGAUCCGGAGAUAUCCGGAAUGGGGGAACCCGGCACCGCGAGGUGUCACCUUGAAUGUGAAUAGAUAGCAUUAAGGAGGAAGACGCAGUGAACUGAAACAUCUAAGGUACC
rnacentral:rRNA from 1 species